GAGAGAUUUAUGAUUCUUUUGAUUGUACGGAUAAUGUGCACCUCAUUGAUGAUGUUGGAAACUGCUCUGGCUGCUCAAGUGGUCAAAUGUUGGAUUCUCCAUUGCUCCGGAAGAGAAAACUCUUGCCAAUGGAACUGCAUAUCAAUGGCCAGAGAGUUGUGGAUCUUCGAGACUGCUUGAGGAAACGCAGGGUAAUUGAUGGCCAUCCAGUGAUUCGACCAUCAAGAAGGCAUGACUCUUCUCGUCUGCAUGAUCGAAGUCGGGAAAGGCCUCGAAGACCUAGUUUGAGUCAGCGGCUGCAUGGAAGGCUGGCAUCAGAGGUGGGAAAGAAUACUAUUGGGUCACUCGGAGAUAAUGGAAUUAUGUUAAAUGGUGCUAACCCGCGUGGCUGGC
rnacentral:misc_RNA from 1 species